rnacentral:rRNA from 1 species
AUUGAACGCUGGCGGCAGGCCUAACACAUGCAAGUCGAGCGAGCGGCGGACGGGUGAGUAAUGUCUGGGAAACUGCCUGAUGGAGGGGGAUAACUACUGGAAACGGUAGCUAAUACCGCAUACCAUCAGAUGUGCCCAGAUGGGAUUAGCUAGUAGGUGGGGUAAUGGCUCACCUAGGCGACGAUCCCUAGCUGGUCUGAGAGGAUGACCAGCCAAACUGGAACGUAGACACGGGCCCGACUCCUACGGGAGGCAGCAUGGGGGAAUAUUGGACAAUGGGCGCAACCCUUAUGCAGCCAUGCCGGGUGUGUGAAGAAGGCCUUCGGGUUUUAAAGCACUUUCAGCGGGGCGGCGUUACCCGCAGAAGAAGCACCGGCUAACUCCGUGCCAGCAGCCGCGGUAAUUC